GAUGAACGCUGGCGGCGUGCUUAACACAUGCAAGUCGAACGAAGCACUUUAUUUGAUUUCCUUCGGGACUGAUUAUUUUGUGACUGAGUGGCGGACGGGUGAGUAACGCGUGGGUAACCUGCCUUGUACAGGGGGAUAACAGUUGGAAACGGCUGCUAAUACCGCAUAAGCGCACGGCAUCGCAUGAUGCAGUGUGAAAAACUCCGGUGGUAUAAGAUGGACCCGCGUUGGAUUAGCUAGUUGGUGAGGUAACGGCCCACCAAGGCGACGAUCCAUAGCCGACCUGGGAGGGUGACCGGCCACAUUGGGACUGAGACACGGCCCAAACUGCUACGGGAGGCAGGAGUGGGGAAUAUUGCACAAUGGGCGAAAGCCGGAUGCAGCGACGCCGCGUGAGCGAAGAAGUAUUGCGGUAUGUAAAGCUCUAUCAGCAGGGAAGAUAAUGACGGUACCUGACUAAGAAGCACCGGCUAAAUACG
rnacentral:rRNA from 1 species